rnacentral:rRNA from 1 species
GACGAACGCUGGCGGCGUGCCUAAUACAUGCAAGUUGAGCGCUGAAGGUUGGUACUUGUACCGACUGGAUGAGCAGCGAACGGGUGAGUAACGCGUGUGGCAUCUGCCUUUGAGCGGGGGACAACAUUUGGAAACGAAUGCUAAUACCGCAUAAAAUCUUUAAACACAAGUUUUAAGUGUGAAAGAUGCAAUUGGAUCACUCAAAGAUGAUCCCGCGUUGUAUUAGCUAGUUGGUGAGGUAAAGGCUCACCAAGGCGAUGAUACAUAGCCGACCUGAGAGGGUGAUCGGCCACAUUGGGACUGAGACACGGCACAAACGCCUACGGAAGGCAGCAGUAGGGAAUCUUCGGCAAUGGACGAAAGUCUGACCGAGCAACGCCGCGUGAGUGAAGAAGGUUUUCGGAUCGUAAAACUCUGUUGGUAGAGAAGAACGUUGGUGAGAGUGGAAAGCUCAGCAAGUGACGGUAACUACCCAGAAAGGAACGGCUAACUACGUG